AUUGAACGCUGGCGGCAUGCCUUACACAUGCAAGUCGAACGGUAACGCGGGGCAACCUGGCGACGAGUGGCGAACGGGUGAGUAAAGCAUCGGAACGUGCCCAGUAGUGGGGGAUAGCCCGGCGAAAGCCGGAUUAAUACCGCAUACGACCUACGGGAGAAAGGGGGGGAUCGCAAGACCUCCCGCUAUUGGAGCGGCCGAUGUCAGAUUAGGUAGUUGGUGGGGUAAAGGCCUACCAAGCCGACGAUCUGUAGCUGGUCUGAGAGGACGACCAGCCACACUGGGACUGAGACACGGCCCAGACUCCUACGGGAGGCAGCAGUGGGGAAUUUUGGACAAUGGGCGCAAGCCUGAUCCAGCCAUGCCGCGUGCGGGAAGAAGGCCUUCGGGUUGUAAACCGCUUUUGUCAGGGAAGAAAUCCUUUGGGUUAAUACCUCGGGGGGAUGACGGUACCUGAAGAAUAAGCACCGGCUAACUACGUGCCAGCCGCCGCCGUAA
rnacentral:rRNA from 1 species